AACGAACGCUGGCGGCAUGCCUAACACAUGCAAGUCGAACGAGACCUUCGGGUCUAGUGGCGCACGGGUGCGUAACGCGUGGGAACCUGCCCUUAGGUUCGGAAUAACUCCCCGAAAGGGGUGCUAAUACCGGAUAAUGUCUUCGGACCAAAGAUUUAUGGCCUUUGGAUGGGCCCGCGUUGGAUUAGCUAGUUGGUAGGUUAAAAGCCUACCAAGGCGACGAUCCAUAGCUGGUCUGAGAGGAUGAUCAGCCACACUGGGACUGAGACACGGCCCAGACUCCUACGGGAGGAAGCAGUGGGGAAUAUUAGACAAGGGGCGAAAGCCUGAUCCAGCAAGGCCGGGUGAGUGAUGAAGGCCUUAGGGUUGUAAAGCUCUUUUACCCGGGAUGAUAAUGACAGUACCGGGAGAAUAAGCUCCGGCUAACUCCGU
rnacentral:rRNA from 1 species